rnacentral:rRNA from 1 species
UGCAGAAGCGGGGAUUACACUACUAGACGAGAAGACCCUAUGGAGCUUAUAAACAAAGAACGGCCUACUGCAGGCGCCGAGAAGAUAAACACCUUAGCCGCUAAGCCCCGCUCCAAGUUUUUGGUUGGGGCGACCGUGGAGAAAUACAAAACCCCCAUGAAAACCAGGACUAAAACACCCUGAAGCCGAGAGCCACAGCUCUGAGCAUCAAAAUAUUUGACUGCAAGAUCCGGCCACUCACAGCCGAUCAACGGACCUAGUUACCCUAGGGAUAACAGCGCAAUCCCCUCCCAGAGCCCUUAUCGACGAGAGGGUUUACGACCUCGAUGUUGGAUCAGGACAUCCUAAUGGUGCAGCCGCUAUUAAGGGUUCGUUUGUUCAACGAUUAACAGUCCU